UGAAGCUUCCCUCACAUUGAUCAUCUUCUUCUCCAUUUAUUUUUCCCUUAUUUUUGACUCAAUACCCUAAAUUCACCAAUUUCGUUCAACCUUCUUCACAAUUCAUCCAUUCUUCAUCUACCUUUACAAUACUUAGAUAUUGUGAGUAUUUCAAAGAGGGAAACUUUGGGUUUAUUUUGGACGUUUUGGGACGAACUUCGGAUCGAAAGGGCGGUUUUCGAGUAUUUCUUGUGUGAUUUUUGUCUCCCAUAUUCAAAUUUCGGGUUUGUAGAGGAACCCUUUUGACUUGAGUUUUGAGGUUGUGGAGUGUUAUUGCUGAUAAGGGACUUGAAGAUAGUUAGCUCCAGUUGGGUUAAAGAGUGCGUUGGAUCCAUUUUGAUUUAGUAGGACUUUAAAAAGACUUCCGCUGUUAUUUAUUUAUAGGAUUAUGUUCUGGUUUGUAAUAAUUAAUUUUACAUUCUAUUUAGUUGGUCUGUAAUAAUUAGUUAAAACUUUUGGUUAUUGUUUUAGUCAGAACCAUUAGCCUUGCGGUUAUUAUUAAUAAUUAUCGCGGCGUAGCACCUUUGGAUUUC